rnacentral:rRNA from 1 species
UGGGGAAUAUUGGACAAUGGGGGCAACCCUGAUCCAGCAAUGCCGCGUGUGUGAAGAAGGCCUGCGGGUUGUAAAGCACUUUCAGUAGAGAAGAAAAGCCUAAGGUUAAUAACCUUGAGUCUUGACGUAACCUACAGAAGAAGCACCGGCUAACUCCGUGCCAGCAGCCGCGGUAAUACGGAGGGUGCAAGCGUUAAUCGGAAUUACUGGGCGUAAAGCGCACGUAGGUGGUUUGGUAAGUCGGAUGUGAAAGCCCUGGGCUUAACCUGGGAAUUGCAUUCGAUACUGCUUGACUAGAGUAUGGUAGAGGGAAGUGGAAUUUCCGGUGUAGCGGUGAAAUGCGUAGAUAUCGGAAGGAACACCAGUGGCGAAGGCGACUUCCUGGGCCAAUACUGACACUGAGGUGCGAAAGCGUGGGUAGCAAACAGGAUUAGAUACCCUGGUAGUCCACGCCGUAAACGAUGAGAACUAGAUGUUGGGAGGGUUGCCUCCCGGUGUCGCAGCUAACG